UGUGUGUUAGGAAGUGGGCCUCUGUGAUCCAUCUCCAGCAUGGUCGGCUUUUGAUGAAAACGGCUGCUGAAUUUCCCCAGGGCAAACAGAAUGUAGGGAGGAGGGAAGGGAUCUAAGAGGAAAGAACUGUGGAUCGGUAGAGCGUCGUGUGGGGUAAGAGUGAAGA